GCUUACCGACCUCCCGCCCCCGCUGCGCGCGUUUCUGGCCCUGCCAGUGUCUCCGCCGGUUGAAAGCGCGUGUCUGCGUCGGGUUCUGUUGGAGUGCGUUCGGUGCGCCGUGGGUCCGCGCUGCUUCCACCCAACUUCCUGUUAGUUUCUCUCCUGUCACAAUGGCAUGAUCUCGGCUCACUGCGACCUCUGCUUCCUGGGUUCAAGGAUUCUCCUGCCUCAGCCUCCCAAGUAGCUGGGAUUACAGUUUCCAUCAUUAUCUUCUAUGGAGUUCUUCAUUCCCACAUCUGUGGACCUUAAAAUCCUACCGUUGAGUGCCUGCCUUGGAUCAGCAGUCAGUUCGUUACCUUGGUUCUCAGACGAUGCUUGCAACAACGCCAUGCGAUUCGCCCACUCUUGGGUUACAUUAGUUAUACACUCUGGAGGUGACUUGACCUGUCAUUGUGAACAAUUAUUGCUCUUGGACGACCCAGGACAUAGGCCAGCCAGUACGUACCCCAGUGUGUUGGAGAAUCGCGCUCGGCUUCUUCCUCUGUGCUGAGUCAUGAAAGUUGCCGGAGCAGGUGCAGUUACACAACCUCCAGACAUCUAGGCUUGCUGUCAAGGCUUCUGAUCAACAUGAGAUGACCGCCGUGUGGUAAACUGAUGAACCCUGACCCUGAUCAACAUGAGAUGACCGCCGUGUGGUAAACUGAUGAACCCCGACCCUGAUGAACGUGAGAUGACCGCCGUGUGGUAAACUGAUGAACCCCGACCCUGAUGAACGUGAGAUGACCGCCGUGUGGUAAACUGAUGAACCCCGACCCUGAUGAACGUGAGAUGACCGCCGUGUGGUAAACUGAUGAACCCCGACCCUGAUGAACGUGAGAUGACCGCCGUGUGGUAAACUGAUGAACCCCGACCCUGAUCAACGUGAGAUGACCGCCGUGUGGUAAACUGAUGAACCCCGACCCUGAUGAACAUGAGAUGACCGCCGUGUGGUAAACUGAUGAACCCCGACCCUGAUCAACAUGAGAUGACCGCCGUGUGGUAAACUGAUGAACCCCGACCCUGAUCAACAUGAGAUGACUGCCGUGUGGUAAACUGAUGAACCCUGACCCAUUAGGCUUUGGCUACAGAAUGUGGAAAUAAGUUGUGUUACUACAUGUGUGUAAUCCUAGGGUGCAGGACACCGGCCGGGAGGUUCCAUAGAGUGAUGGGUUCUGCAGGUAACUCAUCCUCUAGUCCUCUGUAAGCUCCUAGAAGGAAGAAAUUAUGUCCUUUAGACUAAUAAAAUUCCUCCAAACCAAAUACAGCACCUACUGUGAAGACACAAAGAUACUUUUAGAAUAGUAAAAACUUUAUCCAUUGAGAAAUUCCUUAAUGAAACAGUAUCCAAGAAGUCAUUUGCCAGCAGAUUUCUUAGAGGUGCGAUAAAGAAGAGGACAUUGCCAGUCGUCACAGCAGCUGCAAUAGCUCCUCUCUAUUGUUAAACAGUGGGAUAUCUUGUGCAGGUUUUCAGUUGACAAUCAAUUUUAAAGAUUAGUUUCGGUCCCCAUCAAUCAAUUAUUUAUUAACCCAUCAAUAAAAAUUUAAAUGCUCUGUGAGGUACAAUAGCUAUUAAAAGAGACAGAGGCACUUUCUGUGUCCAGAGGGGCUUUUAGUCUGCUCUGGAAAGCAAGAUGCGUGCAGAUGAGUGACGCAGUGCAUCGUGUGGAUGCAAAGGGAGGGACUCACAUGGGAACCAGAGGAGCUACGAAGGGAGGCAGUGGGGACUGGUGGGUCGAGACCUGGAAAUAACACAUGAAUAGGCAACAAAGGUUUCCUUUCCUCUUCCAUGCACUUCAGUCCUUGAAAAACGUCUUACCACGGAAUUCCACAGCGUACCAAGCGAUUCCACAGCUUGAUGGCACACUCUCCUUUCUCAGCAUUCUUGAAAAUGGCGUGUGAGCCAAGCCAUCUUACUGAGAAAUUACCUUAAACCAUUUGAUGAACCAAAAAUAUUUUGUAAUACCCAUCUCCGACAUUAGGUAGGCAAAUCACACAGAAACACCGAGGUCUUCUGAGUCAUAUUUAUCUGAAAAAUCACAGCUUGGGUGCAUGUGAAGCCAGAGGAGCACUCCUGGGGCCUGCGGUGCCAUCACUCAGCUCCCCUGGGCUUCACAUGGCCAUGGAGCACCCAGCAAGUGUAGGCUCUGAGCCUUCAGGGAGGGGCGGCAUCAGCCAGCACCAUCGUCUCCUGGGUCUUGUGCCUCUUCCUUGGUUGCGGUGUUGUCAGGGCCAGAAUUGGGCAAUUCCGGGUGACAUCCAGGUGUGGCUGCUGACACGGAGCACAGGACACCCUGCUCCUGUGGUUUGCAGCCCCGGCCUUCUCUUCGAGGACGCCUCUGCUCUUCUGCCUCACACUCGGAUUGGACCUUCUUCAGCACAGCCAGUGGCCGAGGCUUCCUCCCUGGGGCUCAGUGGAGCAGGACAGAUGCUGCAUCCAAACUCUUCCAUUGGGUUCCAGUCUGUUCCAGUCAUGCCCUUGAGCCUCUAAAGCUCCUAGGUGAGAGACGUAGCAGCUGACAGCACUUCCCACUUGAUUUGGGUGGACUCCAGCCUCCCCAGCAACAAUAAGAGAUCAAAAGCAUCGUUGAGGAAGCAGCUUGCUGAAACGCUGAGUGCCCGCCACUCUCAGGUCAGGUGGGACCGGCAGGCCAGCAUGAGUUCCUGAACACUUGGUUCUCAAUACUGGCCACAGCCACACUGUAAGGGGAAACAAGAGGGCACUGUAUGCAAACAUCUCUUGAACUCUGGAGUCUGCUCACCUUCCUGCCUCAAGCCCCUCUCCCACGUGGUCCAGUCACCAUUCUCCACAGAGACUACCCUAAAACCCAGCGACUCUCGUGUGCCUGCAGAAUGGCACAGCCCGUUCUCAUAGCAGCACUCCUGUUUAAUCAGAGGGAUGUUAACGACCAAGUCAUAUUUGCUCGAUUUGUGUUCAACAUAUUUCAUUUGUACCGAUAAAACUUAAAAAUAUCCCCACACAUGCAUUGCCUAUUAAAGAGUAUCUUCCAGGUACACCUCCCUUACACAUCAGUUAACUUGAUAAUUUCUUCCCAUUCUUGUGCAAUAAAUUUCCUUCCUGAUCAGCUCUGUCCAGCAGCAACAAUAAUCCACGUAGAGACAUGCAAACUAAAAGUCCGUUAGUGGAGGCACGAAGCUGAUGAGGCUUGGAAAAAAAUGACCGAUUUGAUUAAAAUUAGGACCCAUGGGAGUGGAGCUCUGCCUAUUUUAGAGGCAAAGUAAAUGCCUGGGAGUCCAAUCACCGACAUUCUGUUUGAGGUUUCUAAUCACAAGGAAGAUGGAGAAAAUGCAGAACAAGUGGUCAAGAACAGGGAGAUAAUAAAUAGAAUAUUUAUGGGCUGAGGAAAACAAUUACCAGGGGAAAGCCCAAGAAGCAAAGAUGAACAGAGAACGUGCUGACUGCGCUCGUUUGGAAAGGCCUCAUGGCCAAAGGAGGAGAGGCAUUAUGAGGAGCAGUGACCGAGUGGGCAGGACCCCCGGGGAUCAGGAAAGGUGCACGGGGGGAAAUGAGAGGCCUGAGCGGCUUCCCAGCGAAGGUUUUUGAAGCACGGUUUGAUUUUCUCUCUCCCCCUCACCAUCCCCAAAUUUUAGUUGUGACUAUCUCCAGGUACAUGGCUUGCGACAGGCGGUGUAUAAAAACUAAUGUCAGUUUAAUUUUAAAACCUUAGCCAUUUUCUGGAACUUAAAUAUCAAAGAGAAAAUGUCCACAUAUGAUGUUAAUUGAGGUUUGUCUCACUGGUGAUUUGUGCUGAUUCAAUUCCUGUUUCUUUUUUUUUUUCUUAAGGGGUCAGUUUUAGAAUUGGGAGAUAGGUGUAUAACAUAUGACUAUACAGCGCAGGUUGGUUUUUUAACAUAGAAAUAUCUGCCUUUAAAUGAGAACUGAAAACGGAGCUUCUUGGAGGCCACCUGCUGGUGGCAGUGAUCUGACCGCUGUUUAAGCUUUCUUUGAACUCCUUUUUUUAAAACAGCCUCCAUAAUCAAUGGUGUACGAUCUACUCUCGUGGUAAAACUUACUCAGUGAAGAGUGUGUUUUAUUUUCUGAGGAGCUGAACUGUUCCAACCUGAGUAUUCUGAAUAAGGACAGUGGUCGAGCAUGAGUGAUGCCAUCUGGGCUUAGAAAUAAGUGGGCCUAAAAUCUGAUUGUUUUCAUACAUUGUUCAGAUAUUGACGCAAAUAGCAAUUUAUUUUGUAAAAAAUGAUUGGUAUCCGGAACUUGCAACAGCUGUGUGUGGCUUGAAGGGAGAUGAAGUGGUGAAGGCCUGGUUUCCACCGAAGCUCUCACAGCCCAGCCUUUCACUGUGUGGCCGGGGGAAGGGUGCUCCGGGUGGGGGACGGGAAUGGUGGGACUGGGGAUGCCACGGGACAAGGCUGCUGGCCUGGAAGGUAGUCACGUGGAGAACCGCAGGAGAUGAGAUUGGAAAGUAGUAAUAAGCCAUGUGGAUAAGAACAGAGGAGCGGGUUUUAAGGGGGACGUCCUGAAAUGCUGCUCAUGUCGUUUCAGUUCCAUAGACCACAGGAAAUGCAGGUGAGAGGGCAGCCCGGUGGGAAGGAAGGAAGAGGGUGGUGGUGAGCCAGGUGAGUGUGGAGCCGCCCAGGGCACCGUGCUGUGCGAUAGCUCAGGCAUCGGGUGCUUCUGCCAAACCCUUCAGCAGCUGGUUUGGGGCCAAACGUCCUUCCUGUGUGAGAGAAGGCAGAGCCUAGGCAGCAUUCCAAACCCCAUCCAGAUGGGAGGCUGAGUGCAGAGCAAACGGAGCCCAGCACUCCAGAGCCGUGUCCCUUCACUGCCAUGAUCACAUCACAAACAGCGAGGCUUGGAGAGGACUUAAGAGCUCCUUCAAUGCCAUCUUCCAUCCACUGCGUGAGCCAGAAUAGAAAAAAAGGAAUAAGAAGAGGUCGGUUAAGCUCUCUAUUAAGUUGAGAAAAUGGGAACUUCAGGUGAUCAUGUGAGAUAUUCAAGUUAAAAAAAUUAUUUAAAAAGCACAUUCUUAUUAUUAAAAUUUUAGAAAGUACAGAGAAGGAAAUUUUAAUAACCUACACCUAGAACACUAAGAUACUGGUAACGUAGAAAAAUGUGUAGUUAAUGCCUUGAUGGAUUCUUUUCUAUUUUUUUCUCUAGCAAUAUUUAUGUCUAUCCACAGAAAGCGUACACUCAUGUAUUUGCAUGGCUAAUAUAUUUUAUGUAAAGUUCUAUAUAUUUCUCAACAUUUCACUUAAUAUUUCUUUAUAAACAUUUUUCCAGUGAAUAAAAAUUUUUCCAAACAGUA
rnacentral:lncRNA from 1 species